rnacentral:rRNA from 1 species
GGAGCUUGCUCCUUUGACGUUAGCGGCGGACGGGUGAGUAACACGUGGGUAACCUACCUAUAAGACUGGGAUAACUUCGGGAAACCGGAGCUAAUACCGGAUAACAUUUGGAACCGCAUGGUUCUAAAGUGAAAGAUGGUUUUGCUAUCACUUAUAGAUGGACCCGCGCCGUAUUAGCUAGUUGGUAAGGUAACGGCUUACCAAGGCGACGAUACGUAGCCGACCUGAGAGGGUGAUCGGCCACACUGGAACUGAGACACGGUCCAGACUCCUACGGGAGGCAGCAGUAGGGAAUCUUCCGCAAUGGGCGAAAGCCUGACGGAGCAACGCCGCGUGAGUGAUGAAGGGUUUCGGCUCGUAAAACUCUGUUAUUAGGGAAGAACAAACGUGUAAGUAACUGUGCACGUCUUGACGGUACCUAAUCAGAAAGCCACGGCUAACUACGUGCCAGCAGCCGCGGUAAUACGUAGGUGGCAAGCGUUAUCCGGAAUUAUUGGGCGUAAAGCGCGCGUAGGCGGUUUCUUAAGUCUGAUGUGAAAGCCCACGGCUCAACCGUGGAGGGUCAUUGGAAACUGGGAAACUUGAGUGCAGAAGAGGAAAGUGGAAUUCCAUGUGUAGCGGUGAAAUGCGCAGAGAUAUGGAGGAACACCAGUGGCGAAGGCGACUUUCUGGUCUGUAACUGACGCUGAUGUGCGAAAGCGUGGGGAUCAAACAGGAUUAGAUACCCUGGUAGUCCACGCCGUAAACGAUGAGUGCUAAGUGUUAGGGGGUUUCCGCCCCUUAGUGCUGCAGCUAACGCAUUAAGCACUCCGCCUGGGGAGUACGACCGCAAGGUUGAAACUCAAAGGAAUUGACGGGGACCCGCACAAGCGGUGGAGCAUGUGGUUUAAUUCGAAGCAACGCGAAGAACCUUACCAAAUCUUGACAUCCUUUGAAAACUCUAGAGAUAGAGCCUUCCCCUUCGGGGGACAAAGUGACAGGUGGUGCAUGGUUGUCGUCAGCUCGUGUCGUGAGAUGUUGGGUUAAGUCCCGCAACGAGCGCAACCCUUAAGCUUAGUUGCCAUCAUUAAGUUGGGCACUCUAGGUUGACUGCCGGUGACAAACCGGAGGAAGGUGGGGAUGACGUCAAAUCAUCAUGCCCCUUAUGAUUUGGGCUACACACGUGCUACAAUGGACAAUACAAAGGGCAGCUAAACCGCGAGGUCAUGCAAAUCCCAUAAAGUUGUUCUCAGUUCGGAUUGUAGUCUGCAACUCGACUACAUGAAGCUGGAAUCGCUAGUAAUCGUAGAUCAGCAUGCUACGGUGAAUACGUUCCCGGGUCUUGUACACACCGCCCGUCACACCACGAGAGUUUGUAACACCCGAAGCCGGUGGAGUAACCAUUUA